GGACGCAGGCCAGCGACUGACAGUGCUGGCUGAGAUCACACACCCUGCUCUCACCCUGCCCGUCUUCAGGACUUGGACUGAGCCCAUCGAGGAGUCGUCCUGACCUGAGAGACGUUCCAGCCUUGUGGAGUUCAAGUCCAGACACACUGAAAGACACUGCAGACAACCCAUGGAACUACACUUCCCAGAGUGCACCGGGGUUGUACCCUGUCAGCAUGGGACUUGUAGUUUUUAACAAUCCAAUGUACAGCAUGCAUAGAGUGGGUUUUGAGGGACUUUUGGCCUUUAAAUUCUCGUUUCAUUUUGUAUUUCCCUAGCAGAUGUCUUGGCUGUAGACAUGUAACACAAUUUCACUUGCAAGAGAGAGGAAAUAAUCAGGAAAUGUUAGCUAUAACAUUAAUGAUUCUGCACAGAACAGAUGAAAUUAACAACCCAUCUGCAAAAAGAACCUUGUGAUGCAUCAGCAGUUGAACAGGUUCAGCAGAAGGGGGCAGUAGUACCUCAGACGAUAAGUGACGAUGAUUCAUGAUGUAGGAAAUAUUAGUUGCACUGAGAUGAAUUGUUGAUUUAAGAUAUUUAUUUUUUUCUCACAUUAAAUGUGUCUUGAAAGACA